rnacentral:rRNA from 1 species
UGCCGGCGACCGGCGGACGGGUGCGUAACGCGUAUGUAACCUACCUUUGACAGGGGGAUAACAUCGAGAAAUUGGUACUAAUACCCCAUAACAUCACCGGAGGCAUCUUCGGUGGUUGAAAACUCAGGUGGUCAGAGAUGGACAUGCGUUGUAUUAGCUGGUUGGUGAGGUAACGGCUCACCAAGGCGACGAUACAUAGGGGGACUGAGAGGUUAACCCCCCACAUUGGUACUGAGACACGGACCAAACUCCUACGGAAGGCAGCAG